CGUUCUAUUGAGGCGAGCGCGGAGCGCGUGCUCCUGCGAGCACAUGGGCAGCAGGCUGAGCUUCUUGCUGCAAAGCGGCCGCGUUCGGAAGCCCCUUUUUGCACCGCUCUGGAAUGGAUUUUAUGGGGGGAAACAGCCUGAAAUUGCCAGGGUUUGGCUGUGGCAUUGGUGCCCAUGUGAGACUGAGCAGAACUCAAUCAUUCCAGCAUGGCGUGGAUUUCGACUGUGGUUAGCAAGUGAUUUCAGAGGGGAAUUUUUCACGCUUGUUUAUUUGGUCCCAAGCCCGAUCUCUUGACCAUUUUGGAAUAAGCAAUGGAGCAGUCCAGCAACUUUUUCCCUCCAAAACAUUCAAGGAUUUCCAGGACCACAGGAUUUACAGAACCACCGAAAUCUCUGGAGAAUGUCAACAGUGGAUGAAGCUGAUGGUGAAAAAUAAGUGUAGCAAUUCUGCCGGCCCCUGGCAUCCCUGGUUUUUCUUUUGUUACUGAAAGUGAAUUGGGAAGGAAACGCCUCUGUUCUCUGAGGAUAUUUCGUCAGUUGUUUGCCAUCUUUACUGGAAUUGCUUCAGUUAUUAGUUUCACAAAGAGGAGAAACAAUGCCUGUUACACUCAGUGGAGAUGUAUUUAUUUUUCACAGCAGUUCAAGAGCAGCAUGUGUGUGUUGAGCAGGUAUGUGUGUGGUUUCCUAAUUCAUACGCCAGUUAUGUUUCCUGAUGUUUGAGGAGUAAAUAAUUUGCCUUUUCUCCCACCCCUUAAAGGUGUAAGACCCUUUCUAGUUGCCUGGCACCAUGUUUGAAGAUUGGGUUACCUUUUUAAAGGGGGUAGCAAAUAUCCUGAAACGGAUAUGUAUGAGACUGUCUGUUUGUUUGUUUUUUUGCUUCGGAUAACACAUGUUGACAAUAAUAAUCUGGCAUUCAUGAAAGGUGUCUUUGGAACCCUUCAGGAUACAAGUUAUUUGCACGGAAUUUCCAUUAUCCAUCACUGAAGUGCAGACACCUCCGAGGUGGAACACGGCUGCACUAAGAGCAAGUUACUGCCAAAAGUCUUCUGUAGUCUCCUUUUUCUCAUAGUUGUCAGCCCAUUCCUAAAUUGCCAAAGGCCACCGCACUUGGCUUAAUGGGAACAGUCCUGCAAGCUCAUCUAACAGCUGAUGCUUAUGGCAGAGCCUUUGGGAAUCCGUGGAAUUUUAGCAUCCCCAAAGUUGUUGUUUAAACCCCCCCCCCCCCCCAUAAAUUCUGCAGAAAACAUUUCCCACUGUUCUCCUUGCAAGAAUAUCCUCUUCACUAUAACAGUUGUGAGGCUGGUUACUGUGCAUAUAGACAAACCAAAGCAGGAGCUCCGAGGAGUGCAACCUUCCCCCAUUCUUCUCCAUGGAAUGAUAACCCUAAAGCGUGCUGCCAUUUUUGUUAGGAAGUUGCAGCAAAUCCAGUGUUUUGCCCUGCUUCCCACCCAGGCUGUAAUUGCUGAGUUCCAGAAACCCUCUGUAGUCACAGCCGUAAGUCGGGAAAUGGGUGAAUCUCAAAAGGUUUAAAGGAAAGUAAUGGAGAUGUUCAAUCUAGUGUGUGUAUAUACAUUGUAUACAAUGUGUAUGUAAAAUGGAUGCAUUUGUGUAUAUGCACAAAAUAUUUUAUAGCAGGUGUGUGAUGUACUGUGAAGUGUGUUUGUGCAUGCGUGUACUCUUAGCUAGAGUUCAGAAGUUUAAUUAAACACUGAGAAGUUUGGAUGCUUAUCCUGAUCCUUGAGUCUGAGAAACGGCUGAUGCAACUCCCAUCCGCCACCAAUUAAUUCCUCCUUGUGAAUCCAAGUCAUCCUAUUAUUCAAUAUAUUUAAAACAUGGAAUAGACGUGCACAUUGUCUGAAUCUGUGUCGAACUUGUUCAUUUAAUUUCAAAGGGGAUGAUUUGAGUAUUUAAUCCAAUCUGUC